CCUACGGGUGGCAGCAGUGGGGAAUCUUCGGCAAUGGGCGCAAGCCUGAUGGAGCAACGCCGCGUGAAGGAAGAAGGCCUUCGGGUCGUAAACUUCUGUUCUCAGGGACGAAGAAAGUGACGGUACCUGAGGCAUAAGCCACGGCUAACUACGUGCCAGCAGACGCGGUAAUACGUAGGUGGCAAGCGUUAUCCGGAUUUAUUGGGUGUAAAGGGCGGGUAGGCGGGGGCGCAAGUCUGAUGUGAAAACUCAGGGCUCAACCCUGAGCCUGCAUUUGAAACUGUGUUUCUUGAGUGCUGGAGAGGCGAUCGGAACUCCGUGUGUAGCGGUGAAAUGCGUAGAUAUACGGAAGAACACCAGUGGCGAAGGCGGAUUGCUGGACAGUAACUGACGCUGAGGCGCGAAAGCGUGGGGAGCAAACAGGAUUAGAUACCCUUGUAGUC
rnacentral:rRNA from 1 species